rnacentral:piRNA from 1 species
UCCGAGGCGACAGACCUGGGCCGAUAAAA